AGCACGUCACAGGCCCUUCGGAAGAGACACCUGUACAGGAGUGGAAUCAUGAGAUCAUGGCUUUACGUCAGGCCUGCACACACUCCUAGAUUUAUCUCUGUCCUCAAUCUUCUCAGUUGUUUGUUUGUGUGUGUGUGUGUCCUGGUAUGUUGGGUGUGCGUGCAUUCCUGCAUCUUGGUAUGUGGUGUGUGUUAGUUAUGAGACAACUAUUAGAACUAUGACAGAACUAUUUCUGUCCCCAACAUGCAUAGUCUUGAUGUGAGGCAGGAGGCAGGUCAGACCCAAGAACACAUCAACCUCCUUUCUGAGAGUGGUUCAAAGAAAAAUCAGAUUUAACUUCUGAAAGGUCUUAUCAAGACUUCAUAGCUGUAAAGUUCUCUUGGCUGGAGCUAUGGUGUAAACACUAUAUACAUUUUAUAAUGCUUUUAAAAAUGUUAACUUGCUGUUCAGAUAACCAGACCUAGCCAACAAGAUGGUCGAUAUGAGAAUACUGGUCUAGGAGACCUCUGUCUAUCUUUGUCAUCAUGACGAAAUAUAUAUUUAGUUCAAAUGUCCUACAGUACACAGUGAGCUGUCAGGAUAAUAUCCUUUCUUCCUUCUACUACCAUGACAACCAGAGCAGCUCCUGGAUCUCCCAAUGGGGUCCCUGAAUCGUUGCCUUAGCAACCGUCUCUACUUGGCUUCGGGCUGAAAAACAAGAUUGGACUUUGUAUGUUGAUAGUGCAGUUUUAGGGAACUCCAACUAAAUACUUCCCAUGCUGAUUUUGACUUUGGUAUCAUUAGAUGUGGAGUGUUUUCUACUCGGUGAACGGACAAUGUGUGGUUUCUGGUGCUUUGCCCCAAUUAGUCAGAUCAGGCCAUAGACCAAAAUAGCCAAUUCCGUUGAUUUGAACAAAACGCUUCUGUUUAGAAGAACUCUGUUUAGAGGAACUUUGUUGUUGUUGUGUUUUAGUUUUUUUUGCUGUGGCCGUCGACGCCCAGGGAAAUGUGUGCGUGUGUUUACUGGUGCUCGGCAGAGGGGCUUGACUCCACGGUUUCACCCAGCUUUUUGUUUUCCACACACUUGCACAAACACACUCUCUCAGGGUUCUGACUGCAAGAGAUGUUUAUAACACUGCUGAUACUCUUAAAUGCUCACACAUUGUGAAUUAAUGGUGCUGUUACUGCAGACACACACACACACACACACACACACACACACAGAGUUAGAGACAUUGUGUAUUCAUCAAGUGCAUGUUGUCUGGACCAGGUUCAGAGGUUAUAGUUCAGGGUUCAACCUCUCUUCACUCAACAACACUGUCAGGGUUUUCUACACUUCUUGUAUUUCUUCCUUUUUAUAGAAAUGGGUUUUAUUGCGUUUUAUAGAAAGGGUUCAUUGCUUUUUGCUACACAGGAGGUUUAAAAGGAAAUGUUUUGAAUGUACAGGUGUGUGUGUGUGUGUGUGUGUGUGUGUGUGCUGUUUAAUGUUUUGGCAUGAUGGAACUGUUUCAACACUACAAUAUGAAGAGCAAUUGUUUAAACAGUGACCUUGUAAUAGUGUUUUUGUAAAGAAAAAUAAAAUAUUAACUGAACUGUUUCUGACACUACUGUCCACUUACAUACACAAACACACAAGUUUGUUUCUAGGAAACCAUUCCAAAUCUAAUCUUAAUUUAAUUAAUGGGUGGCUGGUGAGGUGCUCAUCCAGGUUCUGUCCAGCACAAAGGUCAAGUCUGUUUUGACAAUCAGGUUAUUUUGAGAUGCCAUCUGUAACCAGAAUGGUCUUAAAUGGUUAUAACGUUUCGCGUUCCCAUUACGGAUCAGAAUCACCAAACUUCUCGCUCUGACUGAGAAGGCUGAGCAAUACACUGGCUCAAACCCUCAAUCUAAAAGCGCUUCCUCUCUGCAGUUGUUAGUGUUUUGUAGUGUGACUUCCCAGCAGUAUGUCUGAGCAGGUAUAGAAUAGCACAG
ensembl:lncRNA